rnacentral:rRNA from 1 species
UACGGGGGGGGUAAGCGUUGUUCGGAAUUACUGGGCGUAAAGGGCUCGUAGGCGGCCAACUAAGUCAUACGUGAAAUCCCUCAGCUUAACUGGGGAACUGCGUGUGAUACUGGAUGGCUUGGAUUUGGGAGAGGGAUGCGGAAUUCCAGGUGUAGCGGUGAAAUGCGUAGAUAUCUGGAGGAACACCGGUGGCGAAGGCGGCAUCCUGGACCAAUAUUGACGCUGAGGAGCGAAAGCCAGGGGAGCAAACGGA